rnacentral:tRNA from 1 species
UAUGCAUUAUAUUUGGGAUUUUGAAAAUCUACAACGGGACACCACACCAUGCAUAU